AUUGAAUUGUAGCUUUUGGAGGCAGGGUAAAAGUUCUUUUGAAUAAGACAUCAAAGAGGGUGAUAAUCCCGUCCUUUUUUCUGUGAGUCGGGUUGUUUGGGAUUGCAGCCCUAAUUGGGAGGUAAAUUUCUUCCAAAGCUAAAUAUUAGUAAGAGACCGAUAGCAAACAAGUACCGUGAGGGAAAGAUGAAAAGCACUUUGAAAAGAGAGUGAAAAGUACGUGAAAUUGUUGAAAGGGAAGCGGUUGGUAGCCAAGCAUUAAAGGUCAACAUCGAUUGCCAGAAAAGGUAGGGAGCUUGUUAUAGCGGUGGUGGCGAUCGAGGAUAACAGUGUGUUUUUUUCGGCGGAGUGGCGGUCAAUCCUGUAGACAGCACUAAGAAACACUUUGGAUGUUGAUGAAAAGGCACUAACCGACCCGUCUUGAAACACGGACCAAGGAGUCCAACAUGCAUGCGAGUAUGUGGGUAAACCUAUAUGCGCAAUGAAAGUGAAUAGAAUGUUACCGGACAGCAUCAACCGAUUUUUGAUAGCGUUGCUUGAAGAGAUUGAGUAAGAGCAUGUAUGCUGGGACCCGAAAGAUGGUGAACUAUGCCUGAAUAGGGUGAAGUCAGAGGAAACUCUGAUGGAGGCUCGUAGCGAUUCUGACGUGCAAAUCGAUCGCCGAAUUUGGGUAUAGGGGCGAAAGACUAAUCGAACCAUCUAGUAGCUGGUUCCUGCCGAAGUUUCCCUCAGGAUAGCAGAGACUGAAGCAGUUUUAUGAGGUAAAGCGAAUGAUUAGAGGCCUUGGGGAUGUAACAUCCUUAACCUAUUCUCAAACUUUGAAUGUGUAAGAAGUGAACUGAAUGAUCAGUCUCUAGUGGGCCAUUUUUGGUAAGCAGAACUGGCGAUGCGGGAUGAACCGAACGUAGAGUUAAGGUGCCCAAAUGCACGCUCAUUUAGACACCAUAAAAGGUGUUAGUUCAUCUAGACAGCAGGGCGGUGGCCAUGGAAGUCGGAAUCCGCUAAGGAGUGUGUAACAACUCACCUGCCGAAUGAACUAGCCCUGAAAAUGGAUGGCGCUCAAGCGUGCUACCGAUACUCUACCGUCAAAGUUUGACGAGUAGGCAGGCGUGGAGGGUAGAGAAGCUAUGGGCGUGAGCUCUAGUGGAACAGC
rnacentral:rRNA from 1 species